GAAAUGCGAUAAGUAAUGUGAAUUGCAGAAUUCAGUGAAUCAUCGAAUCUUUGAACGCACAUUGCGCCCGCCAGUAUUCUGGCGGGCAUGCCUGUUCGAGUGUCAUUUCAACCAUCAAGCCCCCGGCUUGUGUUGGGGACCUGCGGCUGCCCGCAGGCCCUGAAAAACAGUGGCGGGCUCGCUGUCACACCGAGCGUAGUAGCAUACAUUCUCGCUCAGGGCGUGCUGCGGGUUCCGGCCGUUAAACGACCUUCAUAACCCAAGGUUGACCUCGGAUCAGGUAGGAAGACCCGCUGAACUUAAGC
rnacentral:misc_RNA from 1 species